GACGAACGCUGGCGGCGUGCUUAACACAUGCAAGUCGAACGGAAAGGCCUCUUUCGGGGGGUACUCGAGUGGCGAACGGGUGAGUAACACUUGAGUAACCUGCCCUUGACUUUGGGAUAACUUCAGGAAACUGGGGCUAAUACCGGAUAGGAGCACCUGCUGCAUGGUGGGGGUUGGAGAGUUUCGGCGGUUGGGGCUGGCUUGGCGGCUUAUCAGCUUGUUGGUGGGGUAGUGGAUUACCAAGGCUUUGACGGGUAGCCGGCCUGAGAGGGUGACCGGCGACAUUGGGACCGAGAGAAGGCCGAGACUCGUACGGGAGGGAGCAGGGGGGAAGAUUGCACAAGGGGUGGAAGGCGGAUGCAGAAAGGCCGUGGGCGGGAUGACGGCCUUCGGGUUGUAAAACGAUUUCGCUCAUGACGAAGCUUUGUGUGACGGUAGUGGGUAAAGAAGCAACGGCUAACUACGUG
rnacentral:rRNA from 1 species